rnacentral:misc_RNA from 1 species
GCAUAUCACAAUUUUAAUUGUGGUCGGCAACUUUUUGAUAGAUUGCUUCAACCCUUUCGGCCUAUAUAACGUAUCCGAACAUCUGUAGAAAGCUGAUAAGUCUGACAUGCGGAUAUAUUACACGUACCCAUUUCUGACAUCCGUACCCGUGUCCAGUAACAUAGCCUACCACUGCAAUUAUGAUGUAAAAUAUGACGAGUCAAUCAAGUUUGAUACCGGAAGACAGGCAACACAAGACUUCUGAGUAUAUUGAGGAUUACAUUCAAAGAAUUCCAGAUAAAUACAUAACAAAGAACGUGCAGAACACAUGAAAUAAUGGAAAGAAACCACAAACUAUUAUGGUUUUCAACAUCCAAGAGAUUUGGAUGCUGAAACUGUAUCCAGGCUUCUCAGUUUCUCAAUUUUGGAUUUAAAUUCACUUUGGAAGGAUGUAAAUGAUCUCUGCCGACUAGCAAAAGCAACACUGAAUUGUUUAAUCUGUUCUUCAAGAUCUUUUCUUCUCCGUGCUUCACUGUUCAAAUCUUUUAAAAUAUUUUCCUUUUGGUCAGUAACAAGUGCAAGCUUUUGAGAUGAUUCAAGCAGGGAAUCCCUUUCUUCUUUCAAAAGCUGAAGUUCUCUUUCCAAGCUAGUGUAUUUUUCUCUAGAAACCUCCAGAAGCUGGUUAUUGAGAUCCAGCUUUUUCUCCAAAUCAUUGUAUUUUUCCUUGAUAGUGUCAAGUUCAUAGCUUAGUUUCUCCUUUGAAGAAGCAGUUUCUCCUCCCUGAGUGGACCCCUUCAUCACAUUUAAAAGCUGCAUCUUAAAAGGAGGCAACCACCUAUAUGUGCUACUUUUUGAGACAAAAUGUACUUUUAUUCUUCAAGCACUAUACUUACUGUACUUUAAUAGUAAAGGCAAGCACAAAUUUUACUUCAAAGAAAAAUUAACCAUUUCCUCAAAAAGAUUGAAAAUCACAAUAAGGAGCUCAUCAGAACACAUUUUUUCAUACACAUGAUAAAAUGCACACAAUGCCUAGAAAAACCUAAGGAGAAGAGACUCAAACAAACAUACGUGUGUAACUGUGUAUAAGCUUCAUAUGUAGGUCUUUAUCUCACACGGUAAGCAAAUUUUCCCUUUGCGUAAAUCAUGAGAAUUUUCACAGAACUAUGAUCUGGAGUUGAUUUAUACUAUAAUAUAUAUGUGAUGAUAUGUUUUGAACUGUCGAAAAGAUUUCAAAUAUGGAUCAAUAAUAUAAUAACUAGGAAGAAACGAUAAUGUUCCUAGGACAUUGAGCACAAAAUUCCAAUUCCUAUUCUUUUUCUGGUUUGAAAUCUCAUAUCAAUUGAUAAUUAACUAGUGAAGCCACAUAAUCAUGUGGACAAAAGUAUAGUGAAACAGUUUAAAUCAUCAAAGUAGUGAAAAGGUUAAGGGCAUAUCCAAACAUCAGGAGGAAAAAUAUAAUCAUUAUUGAUAAAUGAUAUCUUGUUGAUUGUGAGAAGGCAGCUACCUUAUGGUCGCAGCCACAUAUUGUGUUCUUCACUUCUUUGUUCUGAAUGGCUAAUUUCUCUGAUG